GCGGGCCGAAUCGGCAGUUGGACCGACCCGCAUAGACGUCAGGCGUCGCGCUCGGCGGUCAGGUUCCAGCGCCGCAAGGUGUGAGAGUUCGAAUCUCUCCGUCCGCACCA
rnacentral:tRNA from 1 species